rnacentral:sRNA from 1 species
CUGCGUACGUGAUUGAAGAAACAUCAGACUGUUGAACGCUUCUCCCGUUUGCACCACGUUAUUAAACGAUGACAUGAUGGUUCGCUACUACUGCUAUGCCAGACUCAAGGAAUCUAGUAAUUUAUCUUCUUCAUUUUCCUUUUUCCUUUUGUUCAACAAUGAUCUCCAUAGCUCACAGUUACUUCGUAUACAUCGCAAGGAGGCAGCACAAACAUCCUGGGAUACAUGUUCCCUCUCGUCUUCUUCGAAACUCGACAAGGUGUCGAAAUGCUGAACAAGCAGCAAGCAGCUUGCCGACGUGGAAGAAGCUCCGAGCGCCGAGAAGUAAAACUCUCCAAUUUAGGGUACCCUAAUUUAUGAAAUAAUGGUGAAUGUUGUCGAGAAUCCAGAGGAGAUCGUGCCAAAUUGAAGAUUGAAUAACUUCUGUUUGUAUUAAAUUGUUCUUAAAAUCAUUUGACUCUCGAUCCUUUAUUCUUCUUCGUUGAAUUUAGGUGUUGGUAUAGGGGAUGCGGUGCUGAUACGGUACAUGUGAUGGCAUCUGGUUGAUCUAAG